GGAUAUGUAGCUCAGUGGUGGAGAACGUGCUUGGUAUGCAGGAGGCCUAGGGUUCAAUCCCUAGCACCA
rnacentral:tRNA from 1 species